rnacentral:misc_RNA from 1 species
AAUAGUUGAUCGAUAUCUACGAGUUACCGUCAAGGUACUUCAACUUUGAACUCACGCAAGCUCGAGGAAUAUUCCUCCAUUUCCGUCGGGAACACAAAGGUCUCUCGUUGAGGUUCUUCCCGAUUUGGAGCCGAUGGUGUGGAAAAAGUUUCGCCGAAACCCAGCGCAGACGUUGGUCCAGUAUGUUGGGGUACUUGGAUCGGAUGGAGAGUUUAAAACUUUUACGGGUGUAUCGAUAUAUCGAUCGGUUAUUCCGUGACAGGGAAAGCUUUCGGAAAAAUGAAAUUCCGGCACCAUAUGAUAAUCAAAUGCGCCCUUCUGAUAUGUCAAUCAGAAUAUAUAUCCAAACCUUGAGUUUGUAGUCGAUGUCUAUGAGCCUACAGUAUUGCAAGCCCGACGGUGGAAGUGAGGGUAAUUUCAGGUUGAUUAGAACCAGAUCUUGACCCUCGACAACGUUCACUU